rnacentral:rRNA from 1 species
UGGGGAAUAUUGCACAAUGGGGGAAACCCUGAUGCAGCGACGCCGCGUGGAGGAAGAAGGUCUUCGGAUUGUAAACUCCUGUUGUUGGGGAAGAUAAUGACGGUACCCAACAAGGAAGUGACGGCUAACUACGUGCCAGCAGCCGCGGUAAAACGUAGGUCACAAGCGUUGUCCGGAAUUACUGGGUGUAAAGGGAGCGCAGGCGGGAAGACAAGUUGGAAGUGAAAUCUAUGGGCUCAACCCAUAAACUGCUUUCAAAACUGUUUUUCUUGAGUAGUGCAGAGGUAGGCGGAAUUCCCGGUGUAGCGGUGGAAUGCGUAGAUAUCGGGAGGAACACCAUUGGCGAAGGCGGCCUACUGGGCACCAACUGACGCUGAGGCUCGAAAGUGUGGGUAGCAAACAGGAUUAGAUACCCUGGUAGUCCACACCGUAAACGAUGAUUACUAGGUGUUGGAGGAUUGACCCCUUCAGUGCCGCAGUUAACACAAUAAGUAAUCCACCUGAGGAGUACGACCGCAAGGUUGAAACUCAAAGGAAUUGACGGGGGCCCGCACAAGCAGUGGAGUAUGUGGUUUAAUUCGACGCAACGCGAAGAACCUUACCAAGUCUUGACAUCCCUUGACAGGCAUAGAAAUAUGUUUUCUCUUCGGAGCAAGGAGACAGGUGGUGCAUGGUUGUCGUCAGCUCGUGUCGUGAGAUGUUGGGUUAAGUCCCGCAACGAGCGCAACCCUUAUGGUCAGUUACUACGUAAGAGGACUCUGGCCAGACUGCCGUUGACAAAACGGAGGAAGGCGGGGAUGACGUCAAAUCAUCAUGCCCCUUAUGAUUUGGGCUACACACGUGCUACAAUGGCGUAAACAAAGGGAAGCAAGCCUGCGAGGGUAAGCAAAUCCCAAAAAUAACGUCCCAGUUCGGACUGCAGUCUGCAACUCGACUGCACGAAGCUGGAAUCGCUAGUAAUCGCGGAUCAGAAUGCCGCGGUGAAUACGUUCCC